GACGACGCUGGCGGCGUGGAUUAGGCAUGCAAGUCGAACGGUAUCAUCCUUUCGGGGGUGAGAGAGUGGCGAACUGGUGAGUAACACGUAGGUUAUCUACCCUCAAGGACGGGGACAACCCAGGGAAACUUGGGCUAAUACCGGAUGUGAGCAACUUUUAGUUGUUUGAAAGGUGGCGUAAGCUGUCGCUUGGGGAUGAGCCUGCGUCCUAUUAGUUAGUUGGUGAGGUAACGGCUCACCUAGGCAAUGAUAGGUAGGCGGCCUUAACGGGUGGUCGCCCACACUGGGAUUGAGAUACGGCCCAGACUCCUACGGGAGGCAGCAGUCGAGAAUAGUCUACAAUGGUCGGAAGACUGAUAGUGCGACGCCGCGUGAACGAUGAAUCCCUUCGGGGUGUAAAGUUCUUUUAUAUGUGAGCAGUGCUUCUUAUAUUAACAGUAUGGGGAGAGAGAUAUUAGCAUAUGAAUAAGCAACGGCUAACUCCGUG
rnacentral:rRNA from 1 species